UGCAAGCGCCAUAUCACUGUGCAGCUCUUGCCUGGCUGCCCAUUGAAGCUAAGCAAGGUUGAGCUUGGUCAGUACUACUGGAAGUAGUAUUAGUGAGGCCAGCAGGGGGCGCUCACAA
rnacentral:rRNA from 1 species